rnacentral:rRNA from 1 species
UACGUAGGGAGCGAGCGUUACUCGGAAUCACUGGGCAUAAAGGGCGUGUAGGCGGGUGCGCAAGUCCGGUGUGAAAGCCCUCGGCUCAACUGGGGAAUGCCAUCGGAUACUGCGUGCCUUGAGUAUGGGAGGGGAGAGUGGAACUCUUGGUGGAGCGGUGAAAUGCGUAGAUAUCAAGAGGAACGCCGGUGGCGAAAGCGGCUCUCUGGUCCAUUACUGACGCUGAGGCGCGAAAGCUAGGGGAGCAAACGGG